ensembl:lncRNA
GGAAGGAAGGAAGGAAGGAAGGAAGGAAGGAAGGAAGGAAGGAAGGAAGGAAGGAAGGAAGGAAGGAAGGAAGGAAGGAAGCAGGGAAGGAAGGAAGGAAGGAGGGAAGGAAGGAAGGAAGGAGGGAAGGAAGAAGGGAAGGAAGGAAGAAGGGAAAGGAGGGAGGAAGGAAGGAAAUACAUCAAUCUUUGGAACACAUUUUUUGUUGUUUGUUUGUUAGUUUUUUAAAGGGUUUUGGGCAUUUUCAGUUUCGGAACAUUUUCCAUCUUCUCUAUUAAAACUCAUUUCUUAGUGCUAUUUCAGCAGAAGCGAGUGUUGAAUCAAAUUUCUUUUCGUAGUAAAUUUUCCAAAUCAAGGAUCCUUGCUCUUCAGUAUUGGUGUAGUCACAGACAAUGAAUUUCUAUCUUUCAGUAUGAGAUCUUUGAACUGAAACAUUUCUCACAGAGAUGUCUUUGGCAUUGUCUUCUUCUGGUCUAUUUCUCAGUGUGAAGGACUGUGAAAAGAAUAAAGUCAUAUAUUGUGUUUGAGGGAUCAGACUCUUAUUGUUAGGACUGAGCACGUUGGGGACUAGUGGGUAUUCUUUCUUUACCCUUAUCUCCACUUUUCUCUGUGUGAUACUGGCUGGGAGAUUCUCAGUGGGUGGAACUUUAUCCUCUGCUGCCUAGGGGCAAAGUAAUAUUUUGGAUGCUCGGAAUAAAAAGUACUUAAAUAAAUGUGUUAGGGACAGUUGAAGUAGUGUCGUUCUUAAUUUAAGUCAGGGGGAGAUCAGACGACGUCUCGAGGUCCCUUUUGUAUCUACUUCUACUACAAUUCAAUGAUCCUUCAGUGAUGCUGGAUCACAGGCAGGGAACCUUAUCUGUGACCAAUUGUACCAACUGACUUGUUCCUUCGAGUGCCAGAUUAGAUCUUACAGUGAAAUUUAAUUAAAAAGGAUUCAGUUCAACCGAAGUAUCAGGAGAAAUUUCCAUAGCGGUCUCAUCCUGUCUCCAUAGGAUUUUUCACUUCAUUGACUUCUUUCUUGUUUUGUUUCUUUACAGCAGUGGGGAAAUGAUCUUUUUUUCCUUGUCCAAGAACUUGAGCAAGUCGUUACGUUUCCCAGUUUUGCUUUACUGAAGUGAGAGCUACUCAGUGUUCUUAGUUUUCUUCAGCACCUCUGUUGUGUCAGGGUGUUCUGCAGAUGACAUUCUGCUGUGUUUAUAAGGAUCUAUGGAAGAGCCUGGAUGCCCAGAUCUGGCCACAGGCUGACCCAGUCCCAGAAAUAUAGAUCACAGAAUCCCAGAUGGGGCCUGAUCUGGAUGUAGUGAUCUAAGCAGUGAAAUAUCACUUGCUUUCACUUUUUCAGGAUGUGAUUAAUUUGUUUAUCAGAAUGGGUGGAAGAGCUGAAGUAGAAACUGAAACAAGCUGCAGGUGUCACAGGAAACAAGCCUUACUGAGCCAAGAAGUUAAAUCUUAUCUCCUAAUAAAUGGAAAUGAAUCAAUGUUCAUUAAUUCCAGAGGAGCUAAGGAAAGAACAAUCUGUGUGCCUUGCUCUGCCAGAAGCCUUGGGACAAACGGAACCCCUGGCCAUCUGGGUCUAUAGAGAGACAAAUGGUUUUGUAGAAGCAUGGUAAAUAUGGGAACUGGCCACAACAGAUUUGUGCAGUUGCAGUUAAAUAUUGCUUUCUGUCACCUCUAAAUCAAAUUUUGUCUCUCCUUGUCUAGAACAGGCCUUGUUUUCUUAUCCUAAAUGAUAACCGUGCACAGUAGGAGUGGGAUUUAGUAUCCAAAAGGUAGGCAUUUCCUGAUUUGUGAGAUACUUUGUGCCACACAGCAAAUCCAUGUGGAGCUGGAAGACUGGAAACUGGGUUUAGGGGGGACUCCUGCCAGUCUGGAGAGGAUCCCAGGAAGACCCUUUGAGGCAUUGCAGUGGUAGUGAUCUGUAUUCCAACUGAAUCCUUCUGGUCCUGCAGUGAGACGGCAGGUGUUCGUAGCAGAAAGGUCUAGAUGGUCAGACCUAGGGAAGAAGUCAGUACUGCAUCCCAUUAUUAUAAGCAUGAAGUCAUAGAAAAGAACUGUAUUGUAUUGGCAGCGCACUCUUAUUGUCUGAGCUCAGGCCAUUUGAGGCAACAAAGAAAGAAAAACAAAAAACGCUGCACAUCGUUGGAGAAGGAGCACUGCCAAAGCACAGGGUCCCCAGAGAUCAUGGCAGAAAGAGAGACCCAAAGCAACAUCUUCCAUGUGGCUUGAUUCAAUGGGUAGCAUUAAAUGAAAGGGAUGCAUUUCAUCAGUCUCCUGUUGAUGUCAAUCCCGCGUGUUGAGAUGAAAUGUAGACUUUUCUAAACUGAAAUGUUUCCCUCCAGGAACGUUUAAAUAUUUUGACUUUGUUCCAGUUUGAGAGGAAAACAAAUGCCAAAAUAUCAGUGUCUCCCUGUGCAAGAGCAAUGUCACUGCCCCAUGUGCUGUGCAGUUGCAUUUGUUGCUCUGUUCAUUGCACCUAAUGUCUUUUUCAUUGGAAAGCUUUAUUUGGAGAUGUUUGGGGUUGGUUCUGAAGACUGCAACAAGGCCGAGCAUACUUCUGUGAGCUUUCUUUGCUUUUUUUCUUUGUUUUCCAAGUAACGUGAUAAAUUGAAUCAUGUAUAGAUUCCACAUGCAUGUGCCUAGACUUUACUUGCAAAUGAGCAUGAAUUUGCAUGCAGUCAUGCACAUGUAGUGGCAAGAAGAUAAUGAAGACAAACGGAAUCGUUUUUAUGCCAAAUAGUGGCAGUUGAGAAAAUGGAAUGGAAUUCUAAUGACAUCAUGCCAGAAACGUAGAGAGAAAAUACCUAAAAAGAGAAAAGGGAGAAAUGAUUACUGUGCACCUAACUCCCAGAGGGAAGCAAAUCUUUAUCUGAGUGGUAGGAUACUUUCUGGAGUACCAUAAAUAACAUAAUAAUUGUCCAACAUAAUAGCAAAAUUCAUCUUCUGAAUUUCAGCCUGAACUGAAGAUACACUUCUAGGGUAUCUUAGGUGCUUAUCUUUGGGUGGGGUUGAAAGUCAGGGCUGUCUUCUUUAACCAAUGUCUCUAUAAGGAGUAUAGAGGAUUACUUUAAAGUAGAGAACUUAAUUUCAGAUGGCUAAAGUUAGCUGAAAUUGAUCUCAUUUUUCUGUCCAUCCCCUGCUGCUGCUCAGGCUCCAGUUGAAGACAUUCUAUACUCAUUAACUCCAAGAGUUUCUAGUGAGCUAAUAAAGGAAGGAAUUUACGAUUUCAGAAAAGGAUAAACAUCAAAAUCCCUGCUCUCAACAAAUAGCCUUGAAAAAAACAGAGGGUGAUAUGCUACAUAGACAGAGGUCUUGAAAUAGAAAGUUGGUUCAACAUUUCUGUGAGAUGUCAGCAAUUUUUAACUGAGCUUUGCCUGGAGAUAUUCAACUAGUUGGAACUAAUCCAUUUCCAGAAGAGGUGAAUCAGUGUCUAGCAAUUCACUAAGCCAGUUGCCCAAGUGCUCGCUGCUGAAAAUCUGUGCCGGUUGCUAAAAAUCUGCAUUUCAUUGCCUUCGUGAGGGUAGAGUCCACCGGCAUGCACAAAUGCAUCCAAGGAGGCAGCCACAAGGUCUUGUUUGAACUGGUGGGGAUGGGAACUGCAUGUGUCAGGCAGAACAUCUCAGGCCAGACCGUAAACCUUUGCGGGUGUGAGACGAGUGGGUGAGGGGUGGGGAAGGAAAAGUGCUGUGUGCACUAGGGGACGGUUUUGUCACUGAGUAUAAAUUGGCCCUAAGUACUUUGCAGCUGCAGUGAAAAAAUUGGUCUCUGCCCAUCCAAGGGGACUGGAAAUGAACCUUCAGGUAUAAUAGGGGCUGACACUUUGACAGUUACUUGAAUACGGAGCAGCAUACAUUUGCUUAAAUGUUCUGUAACAACUUCUCGUGAAAUAAAUGGGGCUGGAUUAAAUGGUCAAUAAGCCUCUUUUGCAUUGGCUUUCUUUAUAGUAAGACAGCAGAGAUUUGACAUCAACCUACUGAUUGAGUCUGGCAACAAUUUAAUCAGGUCUUUGCUUGUAGAAUGGAAUAAUGCCUUUCUCUUCCUAGGACACAAAGGAAAGCCAAGAAAUUAAGCCUCUUGUUUAGGAUUUGAAUGACAUUAAAAUACAAACUUAAGAAAACUCCUUUCUGUGAGAAUUCCUGUAGCACAGUAACUGUAGAUGGGAUUCAACUUGCAUAUAAAGAUAGCUAAAAUUAGAGAUGAGAUUCAGCCAGAUGUUCAGUCACCCAAAAGUGGAGGUAUAGGAAUAUGUAGGAGUCAACUGCAAGUGAGAAGACACUACACGGGCCAUUCUCUUACAACAGCCAUAGCGUUCCUGAAGGUGGAAAAGAAGACAUCAUGUUCAUUAACAGCAUUAAAGGUAAAAAUGAGAGUAGUCCUUUUGGUCCUACACAGUGCUACUUAAACACAAAGAUUAAGUGAUACCACCUAAGGUUACAGAUCUGGAAGUUAGAUGUCCAGUCAAAUUGAGAGUCCAAGGAAGGAGGCACGCAUUUCCAGAAGGUGACUUGGUGAGGUGCCAUCCUUUGAGGAAACCUUUGACCAGGUCCUCUUUGCAAUCUGCAAAGAGGAAAAUCCUAUAUUUUAGACAACUAAUGUUUGUUCAGUUAAUCCCAUGUGUCUGUUUGCAUGAAUUCUGUCUUUUUUUAAGCCAGCCUUUUUUAAUUCACUCUAUCUUUUAGCCCAGUUUCUUAAAGCAACACCAUUAAAAAACAAACAAGCAAACAAAACCCCACUCUUCUACAGUAUUUGUGCUGAAGAUCCCAGCUUUAUGACUAUUUUGUGCUUUGCUACUCAGUGAUCUAACACAAGGAAAUUAUCCACCCUUGGCAAAGCUGAGGCUGCUGUGUGACAGUGGUCAGUUACACCUUCACUUUCUCAUGACUCAUCUAAGGAGGGUUUCUAGUCUUGGGGAGUCUGAAUGGAUUAUGGUUCUAGAAUACCCAGUAUAAUGCUUCUCUAUAGCCUACCAGAAAGGAGCACCUAGGUGACUCAUUACUGUAAGAGGAAAUGCACUGGCAAGAUUGACAAAAGUAUGCAUGCUAUCAUCAUGUCACUCAUAACAUGCUCUUCAAACAAACAAAUUCAUCUCCUCCUGCUGCUGUAUGACUUUAGAAGAAACUCCAUGACUACUAAUUUUCCAGGGAUGGACUACUUUAUGACAAGGGCGUUGAUCUGAAUUCAGGAAAUGCUCGAGAUUCAUCACUGAAUGUCAUAAUUGGAUUGACUAUUGGUUACCCAAAGUAGCUGUGCCCUUGCCUGGGGUCCAGCAGGCUGGGUUAAUGCAUUGGCUGUAUCACUGGCUCCUUGAUCUUAGGCUUCACUGCAUUUGUGACACACCUGUUUUAUAGGGUCUUACAGCCUUCUUUUGUAGUACAAGGAAAUAGGCAAAGUUAAAUUUAAUCAUUUAAAGAUUGUAAUCUGGUCUAAACUAAUUGUGUAGGUGUUGUUGUUGUACCAGGGAUUAGCUCAUCAUAGAGACCCUACCCUAGCCUUCUCUCUGGAGAAGCUGAUCUCUCAUCAUGGACUCUAGAGGGAGCCUGGAUGACUGCUUCAGAGCAGAUUUGCAAUUUCUAGAUAGCUAAAAUGAGGUGAUACACACCCUGGCAGGGCUAUUUUCUACCUAAGAGUUCUCAUUACAUUUUUCUAUCUCAGCAAAAUGCAACAUUGACUCUUGGAAGCUGUGUAGUUCCAGUUGUGUUUUACUUAUGCUCUGGUGAGAAGGUACAAGGAAACUGCAGGUAUCAGAAGUGAAACUCAAAGAUAAUGGGGACCUUUAUACACUGAUGAACAAUUCCUGUGGCUGUCACUUUGCUGAUGAAUAGAAAAAAAAUGACAGAAGCACUGAUCUGUUUGGACCCUGUCCUUGUCUACUUGCUUGUCAGGACUCUCAGACGUUGUCUCAGUAACUUUUGAACCUGUUGCUCAAUUUUAAAUGAAUUUAACAGCUGGACAAAAGUUCUGUAAAUACAAAAAUACUGCAAGUUUUGUGAAAAAAUGUUGCUGUGUGAAGAGGAAAAAUUCCAGAAAAGAACCAUCCGCAUGCGAUACGCUGCAGGGUGAAACCCUCACUGAAGAAGCAGUAAGGAUGGAGCUGCAGGAGACAAAACUCUGUAAGCUCUGCUGUUCAUGGAACUGCUUUUCUUUGCAAUUCUCUUCUGUUUAAAGAAGGAACUGCUUCUCUACCUUUGUCCC